rfam:Gossypium raimondii Chr03_contig_1027, whole genome shotgun sequence.
AAUAGAAGAAUGACAAAUCAUAUUUUUCGUUCUGAUUUUCAUUUUUUUUAUCCUGAAAAAAUUCAAAUCCAACUAAAAAUGCUAAAAAUAAGGAGGAAAAAUCUGAUUUGUCAUUCUCCUAUU